AGUCAUGUUUGCAUUGGCUACAGCAGUUUGCGAGCGGUGCCAGAAAACACUGUGUGCUUAGAGCAGCCCCAAGUUUCUCUAGGAGCAGGUCCUUCCUGGGGGAAGAUGACCUUCAUGUUCUGCGGGCUCCCAUCUCUUCCUGGCUUACUCCUGAAAGUCUGAAGAUUCUAAAUUUGACAUUUUUCUUCCUGUAUUCCUAAAUGAGGAUAUUCUCCUCGUUUCAGAAACUGCUUAUUUUGAUGAAAUCAGAAGAGAUCUUAUGCAUAUAUUCAUAAAUAAAUUAAAUCUCUCUAUGUUGAUGGAGAAAAGUUAAAAUGAAUAUUUAAGAGACAUCUGGGUAGCAGCCCUCUGUGCAGUUUCUCAUCCGUGGAAACUCAGAGGAAGGAGAAAACGUUCAAUACCAACAACCACGGCUGAAGACAACCUAAUGUUUCAGCCAAAUGUUUGGACAAACAGUUGCUGAUUACAGAGCAGGUGAUGCUCAAGAGAGAAAAGCCAACCUAGGAAACGCCGGCUCGUGGAGAGAGAGCCCUAGGAAGGGGAGGACACUCCUCCCUCUCCGCCCACCUGCCCACUGUCUCAGGGACCCAGGACCCGAACUAACCAGAAAUUCAAGGGCACAAGAAUGAAGAAGUCAUGGCACAAAAGGAUGAGUGGAACUACACAUUGAAGUUUAGGACACUCAAUGGCAACCACAUAUACGGGGUAGAUUAAAAAUUCACAGCACAUGCCCAGAGGAAGAUGCAGCCUCAAAAAAGACCUCACAAGGCCUUACAUUUACACUUCAAGCUGACUGUUGGCACUGAGGCAGCCUAGAACAGUCAGAAAACCAAACCCAAAACAAGCGAAAUUUGGGAAAUGGGGAGAAUCUGGUUUACAGAGUUACUGUAUUGUUAGACCAAAUGUGCAAUUUUCAAAAAAAUAAUCACAAGGCAUGCAAGGAAACAGGAAAGUAUGACCCAUUUAAAGAAAAAAAUAAACCAACAGAAACUAUUCCUAAAAAAGACCUGAUGGUGGAACUAAUCGACAAAGACUUUUAUAAAACUAUCUUAAAGAUGUUCAAAGAACUAAAAGAUGACAUAGAAAAGUCAAGAAAACAAUGUGUGAACAAAAUGUUUCAUCAGAGAUAGAAAACCUAAAAAGAAAUAAAAAAGAUAUUCUGGAGCUGAAAAGUACAAUAACUGAAAUGAAAAAUUCACUAGAGGGACUCAAAGGCAGAUUUGAGCAGGCAGAAGGCAGAACCAGUAACUUGAAGACAGGAUAAUUGUGUGUGAGGAACUGAAAAAAAAAAAAAAAAAAAAAGAUUUAAGAAAAGUGAACAGAGCCUAAAGGACUUGUGGGAUACCAUCAAGCUGACCAAAAAUAACUGUGCUAGUCCAAGAAGAAGAAAAGAGAAAACAGCAAAGAGAAUAUAUGAAGAAAUAAUAUCUAAAAACUCCCCAAAUUUGAUGAAUACAUGAAUAUAAACAUCCAAGAAGCAUGGAUGUAGGAUGGACAUGGAAGUAGGAUGAACUCAAAGAGACCCUCACUAA